AUGAGUUUCCUAUGCUGGAACUGUCGCGGGGCUGGCAAACCCGCGACAGUUCGAGAACUUCGUGACCUCACGAGGCAACUUGCCCCCUCAAUAUUGUGCAUUGUUGAAACCCAAAUUGUGGGCUCUCGAGUAGAGAAUAUGGUGGAGUCAUUAGGCUUUAAUAAAAGUUUUGUUGUUAGUAGCCGUGGUAGAAGUGGUGGACUGGGAAUUAUUUGGAAUGAUGAAAUAAAGCUUGAGGUUAUUAGUUACUCUGAUUAUCAUAUUGAUGUGACGGUUGAUGAACUUGUAGACACAAAGAUCAGAGCAACUUCUGUUUGCGGUGAAGCACAAGUUAACCUACGUUAUAAAACCUGGGAUACACUUAGGGGGAUAGCUGGCUCUAGCAGUCUCCCCUGGGUCGUAAUCUGUGACUUCAAUGAGGUACUACAUGCUCACGAACAUGAUGGUGUGGGUAGUCGAAGCCAAUCUCAAAUGGAUGCUUUCUGCAAUGCGCUGGAUACAUGCGGCCUGGCAGAUAUUGGUUACAUUGGUAGGAGUUGGACCUUUGAGAAGAAAGUAGCGUUCACUAAGGUAUGA
rnacentral:rRNA from 1 species